UGAGCAGGUCGGGCGAUCGCCCCGGCAAGUCGGGGAGGAAAGUCCGGACUCCGCAGGGCAGUGUGCUGGCUAACNNNNNNNNNNNNNNNCGGUUGGGCCUCCCCAGGCAAUGCCGGGAGGGGUCGGGCCGGUACGGAAAGCGCCACAGAAAAUAUACCGCCCCGGCUUGCCGGGGUAAGGGUGAAAAGGUGCGGCCCGCAAGGGCUUAAUGUAAGAGCGCACCGCCCGGAUGGCGACAUCCGGGGCAGGGCAAACCCCACACGGAGCAAGACCAAAUAGGAGAAGAGGAGUGGCCCGCUCCGCAACCUCGUUCGGCAACGGGCGAGGGGUGACUCUCGGGUAGGUCGCUAGAGCUUGGGAGCAAUCCCAGGCCCAGAGGAAUGAUCGCCGCCCGGCUCCGGCUGGGCACAAAAUCCGGCUUAUAGGCCUGCUCACCCG
rnacentral:RNase_P_RNA from 2 species